rnacentral:rRNA from 1 species
UACGGGGGGGGCAAGCGUUGUUCGGAAUUACUGGGCGUAAAGGGCUCGUAGGCGGCCAACUAAGUCAGACGUGAAAUCCCCUCGGCUUAACCGGGGAACUCGUCUGAUACUGGAUGGCUUGAGGUUGGGAGAGGGAUGCGGAAUUCCAGGUGUAGCGGUGAAAAUGCGUAGAUAUCUGGAGGAACACCGGUGGCGAAGGCGGCAUCCUGGACCAAUUCUGACGCUGAGGAGCGAAAAGCCAGGGGAGCAAAACGGG